GUGAUUGCUUCAGCAGCACAUAUACUAAAAUUGUAAUGAUAUAGGCGAGAUUAGCAUGACCCCUGCACAAAGAUGACAUGCAAAUUCAUGAAGCGUUCCAUAUUUUU